CUAAGUCAUGUCGAACCUUGAAAACAUGAGAGAUCGCUUUUUAAGUUUUGCCAGCCAAGUGUAACCAUCCCAGGAGGAUCGGGUGGUUCAAAGAGUAUCCUGUGAGGCAGAUCAAAGUGCUCUAUGGCCAGGAGGAAAGCAGCUUCUUGAAGGUUUUGGUGGAAACAUUCCCCCAGAUGAAUCCAAAUGUAGAGGCUUUUAAGACAGACAGAAGGGGCUCGUUCCCCUACAAAAAAAAGGAUUGUUGUCAAGACAAUGGAGGACAGAGAUGGUGUGGUUGUUUUGGUGGCUCAACAAUUUGUCCAAGGGAGCAUGCAGGUGGCCUUGGAGCAGUUCAAAUAUCGUCUCAACUCUCUUGAGCUGCCCGAAUCAUUGGGGAACCACCCGAACAGCUUCCGAGCAUUUUUUGUGGACUCCAUAAAGCCUCCCACUGCCAGGGACCUGUUUUAAAGUAACCUAUUCCAUACCUGGCGGCAACCGGCGGUGUUUGGCGAAUGACACCAUCUGCCAUUGGUUCAACUGGCUAGCUGAGGUGCAAGAUGAAGAAUGUCCUUUAACAGUGGCGAUGGUGUUGGAGUUUGCUACUGGGGCAACGGUGGUGACACCCCUUGGGUUUGAGGACACCACGACCAUCGAAUUCCUCCACACAGCACGAGGGCAUCUUGCUGGGCAGCAGAAGAAAACGUACCCAGAGGCAAACACGUGUGCUGUGAGACUAAGGCUCCCUCUUCAUAGCACCUACAAUGCCUUUAGGGAAUUCAUGAUCUCCGGAAUUGUGAAUUCCCCACAUUUCGGUGUUUCAUAAAAACAUUUUUACGAUACAUAAUUGUAUCUAGUAGCACUAAAUUACAGUAGCAAUUGAGUGUUUGGAAAUGUAACUGCACAUCAAGAUUUAAGCAUUUAUCUGUAUUGUUUGUACAGUGCAUUCGGAACGUAUUCAGACCCCUUGACUUUUUCCACAUUUUAUUACGUUACAGCCUUAUUCAAAAAUGGAUACAAUAAUUCCCCCCCCUCUCAUCAAUCUACACACAAUACCCCACAAUGACAAAGCAAAAACAGGUUGACAUUUUUGCAAAUGUAUAUAUAAAAAAAAGGAAAUAUUACAUUUAUGACCCUUUUACUCAGUACUGUUGAAGCACCUUUGGCAGCGAGUACACCAUAGAGUCUUCUUGGGUAUGAUGCUACAUUUUUAUUUGUUUAAUACAUUUUAGAAUAAGGCUCUAAUAUAACAAAAUGUGGAAACGGUAAAGGAGUCUGAAUACUUUCCAAAUGCACUGUAUUUCCAUAUUGGCUGUUAUUGUUCACUUAAUGAUCAUUCAAAUUAAAUUAUACAAUCCAUAUUGCUUGUCUUGGUGUUAAAGUUGAGUUU